rnacentral:rRNA from 1 species
CUACGGGGUGCACCAGUGAGGAAUAUUGCACAAUGGGGGAAACCCUGAUGCAGCAACGCCGCGUGGAGGAUGACGCAUUUCGGUGUGUAAACUCCUUUUAUGAGUCAAGAAAAUGACGGUAGCUCAUGAAUAAGCACCGGCUAACUCCGUGCCAGCAGCCGCGGUAAUACGGAGGGUGCAAGCGUUACUCGGAAUCACUGGGCGUAAAGGACGCGUAGGCGGGCUUGUAAGUCAGGUGUGAAAUCCUACGGCUUAACUGUAGAACUGCACUUGAAACUACGAGCCUAGAGUAUGGGAGGGGCAGAUGGAAUUAGUGGUGUAGGGGUAAAAUCCGUAGAUAUCACUAGGAAUACCGAAAGCGAAGGCGAUCUGCUGGAACAUUACUGACGCUAAGGCGUGAAAGCGUGGGGAGCAAACGGGAUUAGAUACCCCAGUAGUC